rnacentral:ncRNA from 1 species
UGGAUUUGAAGUCGGAAAUGGCUCCCGACACGCUACCUGCAAAGGCAGUUACCAGAGAUACAGGACACGCCGCCCUGUCAAAACCA